rnacentral:misc_RNA from 1 species
AGGCAUUAAGAUUCCUCCUCGAGGUAACAUACCUGUUGUUGUUUUUCAACAAGUACUUGGACUAUAACCUUGAAAUAUUAAAAUUCAUGAUUUCCUCCAUGAUAAAAUAAAUUUUAUCUAUUAUAUGGCAUGGUACUGUCUUAUGUUGAUUGGAUUAGAAAAACUAACAGGAAGACAAAUGCACUGAAUUUCUGAGUUGUAGAUAAUUUUCUAUGCUGCCCAAAUACUGGUGAUAUAUAAUUUUCUAUCAAAGUACUGGAAGUGGCAAGUCUUCACUCUUCAUUCCUUAUAGGAGCAGUGAUAGGACCAAGUAUGUUCACCAGGUUGUAGCUUGAAUUUUCCACAUUUAUAAUGGAAUCUUAUUUGAAGUUUUGAGAUGUGGUAUAGUAAUGACCACCGUAUUAUUUUUCUUUUUUUUUUUUCUAGUGAUGGUCACCAUGCUUGUUUGAAUGGAAGAGAAUGAAAUUAUAAUUGUUGAUACAGAAGUAAGAUCCCUCUUUUGACUCUUGUCUACCAUGUCAGGGCAAAUCUAUUCUGUAAAUGA